rnacentral:rRNA from 1 species
AGCGAACGCUGGCGGCAGGCUUAACACAUGCAAGUCGAGCGGGCAUCUUCGGGUGUCAGCGGCGGACGGGUGAGUAACGCGUGGGAACGUCCCUUCUGGUUCGGAAUAACUCAGGGAAACUUGAGCUAAUACCGGAUACGCCCUUUUGGGGAAAGGUUUACUGCCGGAAGAUCGGCCCGCGUCUGAUUAGCUAGUUGGUGGGGUAACGGCCUACCAAGGCGACGAUCAGUAGCUGGUCUGAGAGGAUGAUCAGCCACACUGGGACUGAGACACGGCCCAGACUCCUACGGGAGGCAGCAGUGGGGAAUAUUGGACAAUGGGGGCAACCCUGAUCCAGCCAUGCCGCGUGAGUGAUGAAGGCCUUAGGGUUGUAAAGCUCUUUUGUCCGGGACGAUAAUGACGGUACCGGAGGAAUAAGCCCCGGCUAACUUCGUGCCAGCCGCCGCGGUAA